GAAGAAUUUUGAGUGAAUUAGACCU
rnacentral:piRNA from 2 species